rnacentral:rRNA from 1 species
CCUACGGGGGGCAGCAGUGAGGAAUAUUGGUCAAUGGGCGCGAGCCUGAACCAGCCAAGUAGCGUGAAGGAAGACUGUCCUACGGGUUGUAAACUUCUUUUAUAAAGGAAUAAAGUGAGGCACGUGUGCCUUUUUGUAUGUACUUUAUGAAUAAGGAUCGGCUAACUCCGUGCCAGCAGCCGAGGUAAUACGGAGGAUCCGAGCGUUAUCCGGAUUUAUUGGGUUUAAAGGGAGCGUAGAUGGGUUGUUAAGUCAGUUGUGAAAGUUUGUGGCUCAACCGUAAAAUUGCAAUUGAUACUGGCAGUCUUGAGUACAGGUGAGGUAAGCGGAAUUCGUGGUGGAGCAGUGAAAUGCUUAGAUAUCACGAAGAACUCCGAUUGCGAAGGCAGCUUACUAGACUGCCACUGACAUUGAUGCUCGAAAGUGUGGGUAUCAAACAGGAUUAGAUACCCUUGUAGUC